UGACGGUGGGGUUAGUUGACGGUGGGGUUAGUUGACGGUGGGGUUAGUUGACGGUGGGGUUAGUUGGCGGUGGGGUUAGUUGACGGUGGGGUUAGUUGACGGUGGGGUUAGUUUACGGGGGUUAUUGGACGGUGGGUUUAUUUGACGGUGGGGUUAGUUGGCGGUGGGGUUAGUUGACGGGGUUAGUUGGCGGUGGGGUUAGUUGGCGGUGGGGUUAGUUGACGGUGGGGUUAGUUGACGGUGGGGUUAGUUGACGGUGGGGAAGUUGACGGUGGGGUUAGUUGACGGUGGGGUUAGUUGACCAUGUGAGGGCCCCCCCCCGGCCCUCCAGGGGCAGGGCGGCCGGCCUCUGGAGGGCGCCGGUCUGCGGUCAUGUGACCACGUGUCUGACCACCGUGUUGGCUCACAGCCCACCCUCACACGCG
ensembl:lncRNA